rnacentral:rRNA from 1 species
UACGUGGCGGAGGCUAACACAUGCAGUCGAGCGGUACAGAGAGAAGCUGCUUCUUUGCUGACGAGCGGCGGACGGGUGAGUAACGCGUAGUGAAUCUACCGAUUAGUGGGGGAUAGCCCAGUGAAACUUGGAUUAAUACCGCAUACGCCCUACGGGGGAAAGCGGGGGAUCUUCGGACCUCGCGCUAAUCGAUGAGCCUGCGUAAGAUUAGCUAGUUGGUGAGGUAAGAGCUCACCAAUGCGACGAUCUUUAGCUGGUCUGAGAGGAUGAUCAGCCACACUGGGACUGAGACACGGCCCAGACUCCUACGGGAGGCAGCAGUGGGGAAUAUUGGACCAUGGGGGCAACCUGAUCCAGCCAUGCCGCGUGUGUGAAGAAGGGCUUCGGGUUGUAAAGCACUUUUCAGAUGUGAGGAAAGGUGUGUGCUUAAAUACGUACAUACUGUGACGUUAGCAUCAGAAGAAGGAGCGGCUAACUCCGUGGCAGCAGCCGGGGGUAUACGGAGGGUCCCGAACCGUUUAUCGGAAAUUACUGGGCGUAAAAGCGCGCGUAAGUGGUUCUGUCAGCCAGAUGUGAAAGCCCGGGCUCUACCUGGAACUGCCCCGAUACUGCGCCA